rnacentral:rRNA from 1 species
AUUGAACGCUGGCGGCAUGCUUUACACAUGCAAGUCGAACGGUAACAGGGUGCUUGCACCGCUGACGAGUGGCGAACGGGUGAGUAAUGCAUCGGAAUGUACCGUGUAAUGGGGGAUAGCUCGGCGAAAGCCGGAUUAAUACCGCAUACGCCCUGAUGGGGAAAGUGGGGGACCGAAAGUCCUCACGUUAUUCGAUCAGCCGAUGUCUGAUUUGCUAGUUGGUGAGGUAAAGUCUCACCAAGGCGUCGAUCAGUAGCGGGUCUGAGAGGAUGAUCCGCCACAAGGGAAGUGAGACACGGCCAAGACACCUACGGGAGGCAGCAGAGGGGAAUUUUGGACAAUGGGCGCAAGCAUGAUACAGCAAUGCCGCGUGUGUGAAGAAGGCCUUCGGGUUGUAAAGGACUGUUGUCCGGGAGAAAAUCCUAGUGGUUAAUAACCGCUGGGUCUGAGAGUACCGGAAGAAUAAGCACCGGCUAACUACGUG